rnacentral:rRNA from 1 species
CUCUUUCAGUAGGGACGAAGCGACUCGGUCUUUCAGCCGUGACCGUACCUGCAGAAGAAGCGCCGGCUAACUACGUGCAGCAGCCGCGGUAAUAAGUAAGGCGCAAGCCUUGUCCGGAAUUAUUGGGCGUAAAGAGCUAGUAAGCGGUUUGUCGCGUCUGGUGUGAAAACUCAAGGCUCAACCUUGAGCUUGCAUCGGGUACGGGCAGACUAGAGUGUGGUAGGGGUGACUGGAAUUCCUGGUGUAGCGGUGGAAUGCGCAGAUAUCAGGAGGAANNNNNAUGGCGAAGGCAGGUCACNNNNNNNNNUACUGACGCUGAGGAGCGAAAGCAUGGGGAGCGAACAGGAUUAGAUACCCUGGUAGUCCAUGCCGUAAACGUUGGGCACUAGGUGUGGGGCUCAUUCCACGAGUUCCGCGCCGCAGCUAACGCAUUAAGUGCCCCGCCUGGGGAGUACGGCCGCAAGGCUAAAACUCAAAGGAAUUGACGGGGGCCCGCACAAGCGGCGGAGCAUGCGGAUUAAUUCGAUGCAACGCGAAGAACCUUACCAAGGCUUGACAUACACCGGAAUCGGCCAGAGAUGGUCGCGUCUUCGGACUGGUGUACAGGUGGUGCAUGGUUGUCGUCAGCUCGUGUCGUGAGAUGUUGGGUUAAGUCCCGCAACGAGCGCAACCCUCGUCCUAUGUUGCCAGCACGUCAUGGUGGGGACUCAUAGGAGACUGCCGGGGUCAACUCGGAGGAAGGCGGNGCGCGAA